rnacentral:rRNA from 1 species
UACGUAGGGUGCAAGCGUUGUCCGGAAUUAUUGGGCGUAAAGAGCUCGUAGGCGGUCUGUCGCGUCUGCUGUGAAAUCUCAGGGCUUAACCCUGAGCUUGCAGUGGGUACGGGCAGACUAGAGUGCGGUAGGGGAGACUGGAAUUCCUGGUGUAGCGGUGAAAUGCGCAGAUAUCAGGAGGAACACCGGUGGCGAAGGCGGGUCUCUGGGCCGUAACUGACGCUGAGGAGCGAAAGCGUGGGGAGCGAACAGG